GUGGGGAAUUUUGGACAAUGGGCGAAAGCCUGAUCCAGCCAUGCCGCGUGCAGGAUGAAGGCCUUCGGGUUGUAAACUGCUUUUGUACGGAACGAAACGGUCCGGGUUAAUACCCUGGGCUAAUGACGGUACCGUAAGAAUAAGCACCGGCUAACUACGUGCCAGCAGCCGCGGUAAUACGUAGGGUGCAAGCGUUAAUCGGAAUUACUGGGCGUAAAGCGUGCGCAGGCGGUUUUGUAAGACAGGCGUGAAAUCCCCGGGCUCAACCUGGGAAUUGCGCUUGUGACUGCAAGGCUGGAGUGCGGCAGAGGGGGAUGGAAUUCCGCGUGUAGCAGUGAAAUGCGUAGAUAUGCGGAGGAACACCGAUGGCGAAGGCAAUCCCCUGGGCCUGCACUGACGCUCAUGCACGAAAGCGUGGGGAGCAAACAGGAUUAGAAACCCUUGUAGUCC
rnacentral:rRNA from 1 species